AAAAGCAAAAUGUCAUACCAAAUAUUAACCUAGCAUCCAUCCACUAAACAUUGUACAGUAUCAUUUGGAUACACUCCAAUUCUAAGAACCUAGAUAACCUGCAUCAGAAGGUUAUACAACACCACCAACUAAGCUUGAGAAUGGAAGCAAGAAUGGAAGAUAAAUUUCAAUGCAUCAAACUGGCCUAUCAAGAAAAAAAAAUUCAACACAAUCAGAUCCUCAGUAGUUUCUAAAACACCAUUCAGUAUUUAAAUUAAAAAUCAUUGUGCCACGUCCCACCUACAUUUAGCCACUAAUCAUGGCAAACUAAUCAAAUGGUAAAGCACUAAAAUUCAGAAUCGACUACAGAUACACCUACAUCCCAAUUGAUCUCUAGUACAAAGUUUUCACUCACACUUUCUGAAAGUGCAACUUCAAAUAUUUCCUUCAUCACAACCAAAAGGAUCUCUCAGUUAAUUGGUCAACCAACUUUAAAAGGACAAAGCCAGCAUAAGUUAGUAAUCCUCAUUACUUUCCACACAAUACAAGAUCUGGGGCUGAGCAGAUUCCGGUUAAAACCAAAAAACUGAACUGAUCCAGUUCAGCUUUUCAGUUCAGUUUCUCUAGAGAUUAUGCAUGUUGUUGGAGUGAGUCGAGUGACUGGUGUGGUGUGUGGUAAGUGGCAAUGGCUGAGGUCAGGUGAGGGAUUUAGUGUGAAGGAAAGGAAAAGAUGAGGGAAAGAAGAAGUCAGCUGAAGUGAGAAGGGAGGGCUGGGGGAGGCCUCUGGGUCUGGUCUGGGGGAGGCCUCUGGGUCUGGU
rnacentral:misc_RNA from 1 species